AUUGAACGCUGGCGGCAUGCCUUACACAUGCAAGUCGAACGGCAGCGCGGACUUCGGUCUGGCGGCGAGUGGUGAACGGGUGAGUAAUGUAUCGGAACGUACCAUUCAGUGGGGGAUAACGCAGCGAAAGUUGCGCUAAUACCGCAUAUUCUGUGCGCAGGAAAGCAGGGAUCGCAAGACCUUGCGCUGAUUGAGCGGCCGAUAUCAGAUUAGCUAGUUGGUGAGGUAAAGGCUCACCAAGGCGACGAUCUGUAGCGGGUCUGAGAGGAUGAUCCGCCACACUGGAACUGAGACACGGUCCAGACUCCUACGGGAGGCAGCAGUGGGGAA
rnacentral:rRNA from 1 species